CCUACGGGUGGCAGCAGUGAGGAAUCUUCGUCAAUGGGCGCGAGCCUGAACGAGCCAAGUAGCGUGAAGGAUGACUGCCCUACGGGUUGUAAACUUCUUUUUUAAAGGAAUAAAGUGAGGCACGUGUGCCUUUUUGUAUGUACUUUAUGAAUAAGGAUCGGCUAACUCCGUGCCAGCAGCCGCGGUAAUACGGAGGAUCCGAGCGUUAUCCGGAUUUAUUGGGUUUAAAGGGAGCGUAGAUGGGUUGUUAAGUCAGUUGUGAAAGUUUGCGGCUCAACCGUAAAAGUGCAAUUGAUACUGGGAGUCUUGAGUACAGUUGAGGUAGGCGGAAUUCGAGGUGUAGCGGUGAAAUGCGUAGAUAUAACGAAGAACACCGAUGGCGAAGGCAGCUUACUAAACUGCCACUGACAUUGAUGCUCGAAAGUGUGGGUAUCAAACAGGAUUAGAUACCCUUGUAGUC
rnacentral:rRNA from 1 species